rnacentral:rRNA from 1 species
UACGUAGGCAGCAAGCGUUGUUCGGAGUUACUGGGCGUAAAGGGUGUGUAGGCGGUUGGAUAAGUGUGGUGUGAAAUCUCCCGGCUCAACUGGGAGGGUGCGCUACAAACUGUCUGACUCGAGUGUGGGAUGGGUAAGUGGAAUUCCUGGUGUAGCGGUGAAAUGCGUAGAGAUCGUAAGGAAGACCAGUGGCGAAGGCGGGUCUCUGGACAGUUCCUGACACUGAGGCACGAAGGCCAGGGGAGCAAACGGG